UACGUAGGGGGCUAGCGUUGUCCGGAAUCAUUGGGCGUAAAGAGCGCGUAGGCGGCUAGAUAAGUCCGGUGUGAAAGUCACAGGCUCAACCUGUGAAUGCCGCUGGAAACUGUCUGGCUAGAGUCCGGAAGAGGAGAGUGGAAUUCCUGGUGUAGCGGUGAAAUGCGCAGAUAUCAGGAAGAACACCAAUGGCGAAGGCAGCCCUCUGGGACGGUACUGACGCUGAGACGCGAAAGCGUGGGGAGCGAACAGG
rnacentral:rRNA from 1 species